rnacentral:rRNA from 1 species
UACGGAGGGUGCAAGCGUUAUCCGGAUUCACUGGGUUUAAAGGGUGCGUAGGAGGGCAGGUAAGUCAGUGGUGAAAUCUCCGAGCUUAACUUGGAACUGCCGUUGAUACUAUCUGUCUUGAAUAUUGUGGAGGUGAGCGGAAUAUGUCAUGUAGCGGUGAAAUGCUUAGAGAUGACAUAGAACACCCAUUGCGAAGGCAGCUUACUACGCCUAUAUUGACGCUGAGGCACGAAAGCGUGGGGAUCAAACAGG